GAAAAAGGUUGUACGCCGAAUGACCUUUAGGUCUCCUGAUGAUAUCUUUACCAGCGAUCUUGAAAUUGAUUCUUCAGUUGCUUUCAGCCAACGGUCCCAAAUUUUGUGGAAUCGUCUUCAUCCCCUCUACAAACAAGCAUUUUCGUCAUUCUUGAGAAUGAUUAUUGUCUCAUUCAGAAGAGGAUCAGUUAUCAACACGCUGGACCUCGAUUUUCAAGCAACAGAUGUUCCUAGUAAUCUAGAAAUCGAAAAUGUUUUAAUCAAUGAGGCACGAAACAUAACUGAAUUCUCGGUGGAAACAUCAUCGGUUGCUGUUGAAGACUAUGUAUCGACAACCACGUUUGCACCAACGACAACAGCUGCUCCAACCACAACAGUUUCUCCAACCACAACCACAGCUACUCCAACUACAAUCAUAGCGGCUCCAACAACCACUGCUGCUGCUCCAACCACAACCACAGUGGCUCCGACCACAAACACAG